UCCAACAUCUACAGAUAGGAGGACACCUGAACUGGCUGAUCUCUGACUUCAGUCGUAGGCGUAUGUCAACCCUCACUAGUCUUCAUCUCACUGAGCGCGAUCGGCCCCAACCGCCUUUUUCUUUCAACACUUGCUUCCAUCAGACCAAGCUGAAGUCUUAAUGAAAGAAGCUGGUCCAAUCCAAUCCACACCCUCAUUUCAAAAUUCAAAAAUACUCAUGAUAUUCAGUUGGCUUCGAAAUAAAAAAGUUAGGUGCAACAACUAUCUCAUUAAUCUUGACCAAAAAUCUCGCC
rnacentral:lncRNA from 1 species